rnacentral:rRNA from 1 species
AUACGUAGGGGGCAAGCGUUGUCCGGAAUUACUGGGCGUAAAGAGCUCGUAGGUGGUUUGUCGCGUCGUCUGUGAAAUUCCGGGGCUUAACUCCGGGCGUGCAGGCGAUACGGGCAUAACUUGAGUACUGUAGGGGAGACUGGAAUUCCUGGUGUAGCGGUGAAAUGCUCAGAUAUCAGGAGGAACACCGGUGGCGAAGGCGGGUCUCUGGGGAGUAACUGACGCUGAGGAGCGAAAGCAUGGGUAGCGAACAGGAUUAGAUACCCUGGGAGUCCAUGCCGUAAACGGUGGGCGCUAGGUGUAGGGGUCUUCCACGACUUCUGUGCCGUAGCUAACGCAUUAAGCGCCCCGCCUGGGGAGUACGGCCGCAAGGCUAAAACUCAAAUGAAUUGACGGGG